rnacentral:piRNA from 1 species
UCUCGUGGAUAAAUAAGCAUU